GGCGAUGUAGUGUAGCGGUUAUCACUCAAGAUUCUGACGUCCAGUAUUCUUGUAACCCCGGUUCGAAUCCGGGCAUUGCCU
rnacentral:tRNA from 1 species